GAACUCAAACAACUUUCAACAACUUCCUUUUGUAUAAGGAGUAACUAAAAAUCUAGAUACAAACCUAUAAUAGAAAGAUAGUAAACUACAAGUACUUAAAAUUUACGUGAAAUUUAACACCAAAAUACUUGAAGAGACACUCCACACACUAUCUGAUAACUAUUUCAAAACAAAUUUAGUACAAGCUAAAUAAUAUACAACAACACCUCAGCUAACAGGCUCAGAAUCAACCAAUACAACAGUUCGUAAUUGACUAGCCCACUACUCACCAGUAACCACCACAGAUCACUCAAAACUAAAGACUGAUAAACUAUAGUUACAUCAGUAAGAACAACAAAAUUUGUAUGUUAAAACUCGGCAACUAGUCUUCUACUGUUUAAUAAAAACAUUGUAACACAGAUGUGUUAUAACCUCCUGC
rnacentral:rRNA from 1 species